CUCACAGAGUCGGACACGACUGAAGCGACUUAGCAGCAGCAGCAGGCAUCCUCCUCCGGGGGGCACCUGCAGCCCUAGCGAGGCCGAAGCUGAAGGACACAGGCGGGCAGCUGCUGAAACUCAGUAGUUCCUGGAUCUUCACUAUUUGGCCCCAGGAUGGUUUCUCCCCGCCCUCAUCAGGUGCAACUGGUCUCUGCACUAUCUGCAGCCCUGCAACUACCCUGACCUGCAUGAUUCCACACCGAUUCCAGAGAACUACCAGGCUGCAGAGGCUGAAGGCACAGGCAUGGGACUUACCACGGUCAGUCUCCAGGUUGGUGCACAUCAACAGCUAGUAUUAAGUAUGCCCUUACAGGAUGCCAUCAACACUUUGAUUUGAGGUGUUGCAUCCUUACAUUUUUUAAAAAUUAAUGACAUUACUUUUCAGGACAGCUUUAGGUUUACAGGUAAAUUGAGCACAUAGUAGAGAGUUUUCACACAUACUCUGUUGUUCCUAACCCAAUUUCUUGCAUUAGUGUCAUGGCGGGG
rnacentral:lncRNA from 1 species